rnacentral:rRNA from 1 species
UACGUAGGUGGCAAGCGUUGUCCGGAAUCACUGGGCGUAAAGCGCGCGCAGGCGGCGAUCUACGUCUGGGGUGAAAGCCCGGAGCUCAACUCCGGGACUGCCUUGGAUACGGGAUCGCUUGAGGAUUGGAGAGGCAAGGGGAAUUCCACGUGUAGCGGUGAAAUGCGUAGAUAUGUGGAGGAACACCUGUGGCGAAGGCGCCUUGCUGGCCAAUUUCUGACGCUGAGGCGCGAAAGCGUGGGGAGCAAACGGG